rnacentral:rRNA from 1 species
UACGUAGGGUGCGAGCGUUGUCCGGAUUUAUUGGGCGUAAAGAGCGUGUAGGCGGCCAGGUAGGUCGGUUGUGAAAACUCGAGGCUCAACCUCGAGAUGUCGACCGAAACCAUCUGGCUAGAGUCCGGAAGAGGAGAAUGGAAUUCCCGGUGUAGCGGUGAAAUGCGCAGAUAUCGGGAAGAACACCCGUGGCGAAGGCGGCGCUCUGGACCGAGACUGACGCUGAGGCGCGAAAGCGUGGGGAGCAAACAGG